UACGGGGGGGGCAAGCGUUAUUCGGAUUGAAUGGGCGUAAAGGAUGCGUAGGCAAGCUUGAUGCUACAUACCAAAAUCUCAAGGGAAACCUUGAAAGGGGACGUAUGUAGACCAUUGAGGAAUGAGUUCAGCAGAGGUUGGGGGUAUUUUUGGGGGAGUGGUCCAAUGCGUCGAUCCCGAAAGGAACGCCAUAGGCGAAGGCAUCUUCUGGGCUGGACUGACGUUGAGGCAUGAAGGUAUGGGGAUCAAACGGG
rnacentral:rRNA from 1 species